UACAGAGGGUGCAAGCGUUAAUCGGAAUUACUGGGCGUAAAGGGUGCGUAGGUGGUUAAUUAAGUCAGAUGUGAAAUCCCAAGGCUUAACCUUGGAAUGGCAUUUGAUACUGGUUGGCUAGAGUACAGAAGAGGGAAGUGGAAUUUCCGGUGUAGCGGUGAAAUGCGUAGAUAUCGGAAGGAACAUCAGUGGCGAAGGCGACUUCCUGGUCUGUUACUGACACUGAGGCACGAAAGCGUGGGGAGCGAACAGG
rnacentral:rRNA from 1 species